CCUACGGGUGGCAGCAGUGGGGAAUAUUGGACAAUGGGGGCAACCCUGAUCCAGCCAUGCCGCGUGUGUGAAGAAGGCCCUCGGGUUGUAAAGCACUUUCAGUGAGGAAGAACGCCUGGUGGUUAAUACCCAUCAGGAAAGACAUCACUCACAGAAGAAGCACCGGCUAACUCCGUGCCAGCAGCCGCGGUAAUACGGAGGGUGCGAGUGUUAAUCGGAAUUACUGGGCGUAAAGCGCGCGUAGGAGGCUUGAUAAGCCGGUUGUGAAAGCCCCGGGCUCAACCUGGGAACGGCAUCCGGAACUGUCAAGCUAGAGUGCAGGAGAGGAAGGUAGAAUUCCCGGUGUAGCGGUGAAAUGCGUAGAGAUCGGGAGGAAUACCAGUGGCGAAGGCGGCCUUCUGGACUGACACUGACACUGAGGUGCGAAAGCGUGGGUAGCAAACAGGAUUAGAUACCCCUGUAGUC
rnacentral:rRNA from 1 species